AAUCAACGCUGGCGGCGUGCCUAACACAUGCAAGUCGAACGCGAAAGCCCGCAAGGGUAAGUAGAGUGGCGCACGGGUGAGUAACACGUGGACAACCUGCCUUCGAGUGGGGAAGUAACCUUCCGAAAGGAGGGCGUAAUACCGCAUAACACCUCGGGACACAAGUUCUGGGGUUGGAAAAGAAGCAAUUUGUCUCGAAGAGGGGUCCGGCGCCUGAUUAGCUAGUUGGUGAGGUAACGGCUCACCAAGG
rnacentral:rRNA from 1 species